rnacentral:lncRNA from 1 species
UUGACUCCACAGGCAUACCAGUCAUAGUUUCAAGCUUUCAUGCAAACAAAACCUAAGAUUUUGGAUCUAAGAUUUUGCAGAAAUUAAGUUUUAGAUCGUGUGUCAAAUAAUAUAUCACAUAUAAUAUUAAUCGAUCUAAAACAUAUAAAAAUACAUGUAUAAUCUGAUUUAAAUCUAAAAUAUAGAUCAUAUAUAAAUUUUUCAUUCAUUGUUCAUCUUCAUGGGAAAUAUCACAAUCAACACCCCUACACGUCAUAAGAGAGAACCCAUCGAAUGGACAAGGAAGGAAUUUUAAUCCCUUCAUCAUCUU